CCCAGGAGCUGAUGGGGGCGGACCUCUCCCUCUGUGCUUCAGAGCCAGGCCUGGGCCCAGGCCUGUGGGGCUCUGAAGAGUCUUCUGGAAGUCCCCCUGGUACUGGAACACUUACCAAGGGGCGAAGGCUGCAUGAUGGGGCCGGAAAAGCCCGAAAAUGCUGAGGAUCGCCUGGAGGGGCCCACUGCUGGCCCUGAAGACUCUGGAGGAGGCAUCCAUCUUGGGAGGUGGGAGGCUCGGCUGGAGGCCCCCUGAAGUCAUCCAGGUUGAUUGUUAGCCCAAAGUCUUGGCAGGCCUUGCUAAAACAGUCCAUAAGUUGUUGAAGGUCUUUGGCAGCAUGAGCAGUAAUGGCAGCAUUGUCAGCGAAGAGGAAAUCUCGUAAGCAUUUCAGCUGGACUUUAGACUUUGCUCUCAAUCUACAUUGAUUAAAGAGUUUUUCUUCUGAUCUAGUCUGGAGAUAGAUACCAUCUGUUGCAGUUCCAAAAGCAUGUUUCAGCAUGACAGCAAAAAAGAUCCCAAAUAAAGUUGGCACAAGGACACAGCCCUGCUUCACUCAACUUCAAAUGUCAAAGGAAUCUGACAUUCAAAACUACAGUGCCUUUCACUACCAUCAAAAACUACAGUGCCUUUCAUUUCCUCAUGAAAGGACCUAAUGAUGUUAAGAAGCUGAGGUGGACAUCCAAUCUUGGAGAGAAUUUUAUAAAAGCCAUCUCUACUAACAAAGUCAAAAGCCUUCAUAAAUCAUAACAACAUUCCGUAUUCAAGGACUUUUGCCUGCGUCUGAUAGAGACUGCCUGAAGAUUGUAUCUGGUGGAGUGUGAAGAGUUGAUUGGACAAUGUGAUGACCUUGUGGGUGUCGGGCAGGGCUGUGAACUCUUAGCUGGGUGGGGAAAACCUGAAAGCUUUCAGAUUCGGGUUUCCCAGAUGUGCCAAGAUGACAUCGCUAAUAAAUUGGAACUUCGAGGAA